GACAAACGCUGGCGGCGUGCCUAACACAUGCAAGUCGAACGGAGUAUAAGCCUUCGGGCUUAUGCUUAGUGUCGGACGGGUGAGUAACGCGUGAGCAACCUGCCCUUCAGUGGGGGACAACAGCUGGAAACGGCUGCUAAUACCGCAUAACGUACCGGGGUGGCAUCAUUCCGGUACCAAAGAUUUAUUGCUGAAGGAUGGGCUCGCGUCUGAUUAGAUAGUUGGUGAGGUAAGGGCCCACCAAGUCGACGAUCGGUAGCCGACCUGAGAGGGUGAUCGGCCACAUUGGAACUGAGAGACGGUCCAAACUCC
rnacentral:rRNA from 1 species